GUCUGCUCGAUCUUAAGAACAGUCUGGCCUGCCCCCUGAUUAAUUUUAAAGGGCCGCGGUACCCUGACCGUGCGAAGGUAGCAUAAUAGUUAGUCUUUUAAUUGAAGACUGGAAUGAAAGGUCGGACAAGAAAUUAACUGUCUCAACCUAAAUAACUGAAAUUAACUUUUAAGUGAAAAGGCUUAAAUAAUCUAGAAGGACGACAAGACCCUAUAAAACUUUAUAUACAAAAAAAAUAAACUCCUAAUUAUUUGUUUAAAGUUGGAUAUUUUCUCGUUUAUUGCGUUGGGGCGACGAAAGUAUAAACCUAACUGCUUUUAAUUUAUAACAAUCAUUUUUGUAACUACAUUGACCCUUUUAAAGACUUAAAGAAAAAGUUACUUUAGGGAUAACAGCGUUAUUUUUUUUGAGAGUCCGUAUCGACAAAAAAGUUUGCGACCUCGAUGUUGAAUUAAGAUACCCCCACAGUGCAGCAACUAUGAUGGUAGGUCUGUUCGACCUUUAAAAUCUUACAUGAUUUGAGUUCAAACCGGCGCAAG
rnacentral:rRNA from 1 species